CUUGUAGUAUCGGAUAAAGAUAGCUUUUGCUGUCGGAUAAAAUUUCCGUACUUCGCUAUUAUUUGCAUUUUCAAUGUUCGUAAAAUAAAAUAUUUGUAAUACAGAAUUAUUAAAAUCUAUGAUAAAGAUAUAUAAUUAAAUAGUAAAAGUUUUUAAAUUGAAAAGAUAUAAACUUGACAAAUAUGUCUGUCAAUAAAAUUCAGUCGUUAUAUUAUUUUCCGAGAGUAACUCGAUGGUCUAAGGGAAUAGGAGCAGAAUUACCGGAAGAAUAUAAAAAAUUUUGGAAGGAGUGGAAACUUCGACAACCGACUGCAGUUCAUUACAUAAAACAACAAGAAAAAUAUAUUAGAAAUGAAAAAACAGGAGAAGUUCAUCCGGUACAAAAUACUCCAAUUCCUUUGAAAUAUCCAAAAGAGUUUGAACAAUAUAUAUUGGGCGGAGAAGCUGUAAUCCAAGGCUUUCGACAACGUGAAAAGUAUUGUCGCAGAUAUCCUCAUUUUUGGUUUCCUUUAUUAAAAAAAUCUGUCCUGUAUAGUGAAGUUUUAGAUUCGUAUAUGAGAGUAAUUGUUACACAAAGAACCAUUCUUUUAAUUCAUGAAAACUACGGAUUUGAUCAUUAUUUAUUGAAGACUCCUGCGUGCGAUUUAAAGUCAGAACUAGCUGUAAAACUAAAGCGACAAAUACUUAUAGCAUUGGCAGAUAAAACAUUAUAUCCAAAUGACGAAGCCAAACGGGACAAAGUAUAUGCCAAGUAUUCACAAUAUUUAUCUUCGUAUACGCGAGAAGAAAUCGAAUGGUAUGGUUUAACAUACAAGGACGCAUGUAAGAAAUGGAUUGCUUUGAAAAAAGAGGAGAAUAAAGUACAGCCAUUAAAAAUUCUAUACAGAUCUGAAUUAAUAGCAAAACUUAAAGAAAAUAAUGUUAAAGAAGCACAGGAUACUGAUGUCCUACUAAAGGAAAAGGACGGUGAUUUGUGGAUAUCCAAAUGGAAUCCAUUUUCAAAGGGCUCAGGAACCAAAUAGGUUAUUAUAACCAACUAUAGCCAUUAAGCAAGAUUGACAGCAAAAAACAAAUGCACACAUGCAGACAGACGUGAUACAAGUGGAAUGGGAAUUGAGUUUCUUUUAUAGAAAGAUCGAAACUUUCUAGAGAAGACUGUUAUCAGAAAACCAGGAACUUAUCGUCUAUACCUCCACAAUCGAAAGAUAUAAGACUUUUCGUAAUAUCGAAGACAAUACAUUACUGUACCUAGAUGAACGUUCUUGAGGGGCAUGACCACAAGAGGCCGGCCCAACAUAUUCUGCCAGCUAGACUUCAAGAAAUUAAUUUCGCCUUUGAAUAUGUCAAUCAUGAGCUCAUAGUCCGAU